rnacentral:lncRNA from 1 species
GAUACCCCACCACCCCGUGGUGAUCAUCUUGGCCCGACUACUCGUCGCCGCUGUUCAGGCCACACAACCACCCAUAGUCGUACCACACACCAGCCAGAUACCACCGUAACCACUUCCAUACUUUGAUUUGUAUUAGCCAUAGUCGUAAAACGCCAUUGCCUAUGGGAAUCUCGCCACCGUACAACCCCGGUUUAAGUCACGACUCGCCGCCAAGAACAGGAGACUUUCGUCGCUACGGUUUGAAUACCGCAGACAACCCGACAACUCCGAGCCACCACGACACCGAUUGACUUUCACUAUCAUAGUCGGGCCCGUUGCCUCACGAUCUUGUAGCACGUAUUCAGGUAAUUAGCUGGCCUCUUCUUGCCGUUAUAUAUGGGUAUUCAUCUAUGAAGCUGCUGCAAAAUUCUAUGUUGAAAUAGCAACUGAUCAACACAGAUGUUGUGUAUUACAAAGAUGCAUCAAUCACUCGACUGGCGAGUACCAUGAAAAAUUAAUCUCGGAGAUAUCAAAAACUCGCAUCCUUCUUGCAGAAGAUGCAUACGGGUAAGUGUUGAGGAAAAAUACGCAAAUGGGUGGUAGAAUGACAGGUCAAAAGGGUAGUAUUGUUGACGAAACUAUAGAAAACGCCUUUUGUAGAAAAAAUUUAUAAAUAAGAAGUGGGUUACAUACGAU